rnacentral:rRNA from 1 species
UGUGAAAUUGUUGAAAGGGAAGGGAUUGCAACCAGACUUGCUCGCGGUGUUCCGCCGGUCUUCUGACCGGUCUACUCGCCGCGUUGCAGGCCAGCAUCGUCUGGGAGCGCCGGAGAAAGGCGGCGGGAAUGUGGCCCCUCGGGGUGUUAUAGCCUGUCGCACAAUACGGCGCCUCCCGGGCGAGGUCCGCGCUUCGGCUAGGAUGCUGGCGUAAUGGUCGUAAGCGGCCCGUCUUGAAACACGGACCAAGGAGUC